GACGAACGCUGGCGGCGUGCCUAAUACAUGCAAGUAGAACGCUGAAGGAGGAGCUUGCUUCUCUGGAUGAGUUGCGAACGGGUGAGUAACGCGUAGGUAACCUGCCUGGUAGCGGGGGAUAACUAUUGGAAACGAUAGCUAAUACCGCAUAAGAGUAGAUGUUGCAUGACAUUUGCUUAAAAGGUGCAAUUGCAUCACUACCAGAUGGACCUGCGUUGUAUUAGCUAGUUGGUGAGGUAACGGCUCACCAAGGCAACGAUACAUAGCCGACCUGAGAGGGUGAUCGGCCACACUGGGACUGAGACACGGCCCAGACUCCUACGGGAGGCAGCAGUAGGGAAUCUUCGGCAAUGGACGGAAGUCUGACCGAGCAACGCCGCGUGAGUGAAGAAAGGUUUUCGGAUCGUAAAAGCUCUGUUGUAAAGAGAAAGAAACGAAGUGUG
rnacentral:rRNA from 1 species